rnacentral:lncRNA from 1 species
GGCUUAUACAUAACUUUAUUGCUGUUUAACAUUUAACAGUUUCUAUGGGAAUUUCUCAUCAUGGUCAUACUUAAAUUUCUGUUGUGAAUUUACGGUGUAAAUUGUUUAAAAUUUUCUUAAACAUACGUAUAGUUCAGUGCCUAACUAAUCUUGCAUAUCUAUGCCCAAGUUUACUUGCAAAUACUUCGACAUAUCAUGCACUUUGACAGUCUGCAUUGUAUAAUUUGAAGAGACGUCUCUAGUUGCUUAGCUGACUGACGAAGAACUCUAAACAAGGAAUAUAAAAAUCA